rnacentral:lncRNA from 1 species
GCCCCGGCCCGCCCCCGCCGGCGGAGCCCGGCCUCCUUCACACCUGACUCGGGCCAGCCCGGGUCCCGCGCGCGCAGAGAAGGGACCACGACGCGUCCCCGCCGAGGACAGGCUUGAGAGGGUUGGAAGGAUGUGGUAGGAAGGACAGAUGGCGAUGCAGGACUCGAGCUGGCGAACGUGCCCACCUUUUCCCUCCUGAGUUGAACUGAGAAGGCACAAGCUCAGCGUGUAAGUCUGUAUCACGGAACACAGAUGCUUGCCAUGAAGCCCAGUUACGCGACUGCUGUCAUGGCUUCCUGUCCAAAGUGGCAUCGGGGUUUAUUUGAGCCAAGUUCGUGGUCAGGAAUGGACACCUGAAUGGUCGGGACUGGUGCUGUG